UAUACCACAACUGGAACUGUCUCUGUUUUUUUCUUUCAACAAUAAACCCUAUUUAUUUUACUUCAAUUCUAAACACUACUUUUUUUCAUUUUUCUUUCAUCUUUUUUCAACCCAUUUUAUUAAUACACAACCUUAAUAAAAUAUUUCUAUUGUAACAAUACUAUGUUAUACUUCGAACAAACAAAUCAAUUCUUUUCAUCUUUCUUUGAAUACAUUUUCUCAUUUUUCUUUCUCCCAUAUUUUAACCUAUAAAUUGUGUUCUUGGUAAAAUAAAAAUUGAACUGAAUAAAGAGGGGUCCGCGCGAACGCAGGCGUCCCUCACUGCCACAAAUUACGACGUAGGUGCUACCAACUAGGGUAGACCUUAGACCAAUUUCCUUCCUUUAUGUGCAAUGGAAGUCAUCAGUCUAAGCCAUGGGCCUGCUUGAUCACCCAAUAGCUCCGUCCAGGUAUGUACCUAUUUCUGUACCACACACAUCAUAUUUAUAACAAACCUAUCCAACUCAUUUUCGUAAUCCCUCCAAUGUGGGACUUAAAUGCUAUUCUGUAAUAGUAUAUUAAAAUGAAACAUGGGUGGCCUCCUCGUAUUACACACCGAGUAUUUCACUACUCAUUCUCCAUAGUAUAUCCAAAGAAGCAAUGAUUACAGGAUGAAGAAUCUCUGUAGUUACAUUUUUUUAAUACAUUUUUCUCUCCUUUUCCUUCUUCAAGAAACGGACAAAAUGCUUCCUGUAGAAGAAUUUAUAUCCUCCGGGAGUAAGAAAGAAUCUCUUUACAUAUAAGAGUAUCACAUUAAAUCAAAUGUUGGUUCAAAAGGGGGAGCUGAAUAUGUUAUUAAAGACCUUAUUAUAGGGUUAUAACCCCCACUUUUUUGCAGGGAAAAGUUUCAAUGACAGUAAAGUUGAAGUACCAAUUAAAUGUCCUCAAUUUCACCUACUUCUACCAAGAGAGAAAACCAUGAGUAUACUCUCCAAAGUUCAAAUUAUACAUUGUGUUUAUCAAGGGUUAACAAGCAAGAAUGACUA
rnacentral:lncRNA from 1 species